rnacentral:misc_RNA from 1 species
GAUGAAGAACGCAGCGAAAUGCGAUAAGUAGUGUGAAUUGCAGAAUUCAGUGAAUCAUCGAAUCUUUGAACGCACAUUGCGCCCCUUGGUAUUCCAUGGGGCAUGCCUGUUCGAGCGUCAUUUGUACCUUCAAGCCUUGCUUGGUGUUGGGUGUUUGUCUCGCCUCUGCGCGCAGACUCGCCUCAAAACAAUUGGCAGCCGGCGUAUUGAUUUCGGAGCGCAGUACAUCUCGCGCUUUGCACUCAGAACGACGACGUCCAAAAGUACAUUUUUACACUCUUGACCUCGGAUCAGGUAGGGAUACCCGCUGAACUUAAGCAUAUCAAUAAGCGGAGA